rnacentral:lncRNA from 10 species
CACCAGCUGGAGUGCAGUUGCAUGACCUCAGCUCACUGCAACCUCUGCCUUCUGGGUUCAAGGGAUUCUCCUACCUCAGCCUCCCGAGUAGCUGGGACUACAGGUGCGCACCACCAUGCCCAGCUAAUUUUUGUAUUUUUAGUAGAGACAGUUUUUCACCAUGUUGGCCAGGAUGGUCUUGAUCACUUGGCCUCGUGAUCCACCUGCCUCGGCCUCCCAAAGUGCUGGGAUUACAGGCGUGAGCCACCAUGCCUGGCUGGAUUUCUUUUUAAUGUAUCCUGUAUGGGGUUAAUUUGGUUUGUUGAAUCUGUGGAUUGAUGUCUUGUAUUGGGAUCUUGAUAUUUUUCUGUCCUUAUCACUUCAAGUAUUGCCUCUACUACAUUUCCUUUCUCCUUGUCUUCUGUGGGCCAAUUCAGUAUUUCAGACAUUGUCACAUUUUGUAACCCCCUGUGACUCUAAUUUUUUCCCUACCAAUUUUUGGUCCAUUUGCUACCUGAUUCAUUCUUUAGUGUUUCUCUGCUAUACUCUAUCUCAAAAAAUUGCUGACCACUGC